GGGCUUGUACUGGUUUCGACGGGGGUUUUGAAGUUGUGGAAGCCAUCCGCAGUCUCCCGAACUGCGUAAUAACGGGAAAUUCUAAAUAUAAACGCUGACGAUCAGUUAGUAAUGGCAGCCUAAGUGCUGCCCGUCAGUCCUGUUGCACUCACACUUCAGGAGUCUGGUGUCGACCUUGUGAGAAACCUUGCCGGGUAAGCUUUGCCCCGGUAGAUGUAUCAUGAAGCUACUGAAGCAGUAAGCCUGUCGGUGGGCGUGCUGUGGAGGGAAUGUUAAUACAGCGACUGUGAUGGGAGAUGCCGCAAGGGAUAGACUUUCGGACGCGGGUUCAAUUCCCGCCAGGUCCAUAG
rnacentral:tmRNA from 1 species